rfam:Parcubacteria bacterium GW2011_GWA1_60_11 TZ00_C0011, whole genome shotgun sequence.
GGGCCUAUAGCUUAGUGGCAGAGCACCCGGUUUGCAUCCGGGAGAUCGGGGUUCGAUUCCCCGUAGGUCCA